rnacentral:rRNA from 1 species
AGUGAACGCUGGCGGUAGGCCUAACACAUGCAAGUCGAACGGCAGCACAGUAAGUGCUUGCUCUUACGGGUGGCGAGUGGCGGACGGGUGAGGAAUACAUCGGAACCUACCUUUUCGCAGCGGAUAACGACGAGAAACUUACCCUAAUACCGCAUUCGUCCUACAGGUGAAAGCAGUGAAACUUAUAACCUUUCGCAAUGGACUGUGCUUCUGUCGAGUUAGCUGGUUGGCGAGGUAAAUGCCCACGCAGGCGAGGGUCCGGAGCAGGUCUGAGAGGAUGAUCAGCCGCACUGGGAGUGAGACACGGCCCAGACUCCUACGGGAGGCACCAGUGGGGAAUCGUGAGGAAUGGGCGGAAACCUGAUCCCGCCAUACCGCGUGUGUGAAGAAGGCAUUCGGGUUGUAAAGCCCUUUUGUUGGGAAAGAAAAGCAGCAGGUUAAUACCCCGCUGUACUGACGGUACCAAAAGAAUAAGCACCGGCUAAAUUCGUG